rnacentral:rRNA from 1 species
GAGUUUGAUCUUGGCUCAGAACGAACGCUGGCGGCAGGCCUAACACAUGCAAGUCGAACGAGAAGCCACCUUCGGGUGGUGGAAAGUGGCAGACGGGUGAGUAACGCGUGGGAACGUGCCUUUCGGUUCGGGAUAACCCAGGGAAACUUGGGCUAAUACCGGAUACGCCCUCCGGGGGAAAGAUUCAUUGCCGAAAGAUCGGCCCGCGUCGGAUUAGCUAGUUGGUGGGGUAAAAGCCUACCAAGGCGACGAUCCGUAGCUGGUCUGAGAGGAUGACCAGCCACACUGGGACUGAGACACGGCCCAGACUCCUACGGGAGGCAGCAGUGGGGAAUAUUGGACAAUGGGCGAAAGCCUGAUCCAGCCAUGCCGCGUGGGUGAAGAAGGCCUUAGGGUUGUAAACCCCUUUCAGCGGGGAAGAUAAUGACGGUACCCGCAGAAGAAGUCCCGGCUAACUCCGUGCCAGCCGCCGCCGU